UCUUCAUGAUGAGACUCAUUAUUUCUUGAACCAGAUAAUGACAGUUUCCAUUCUUGCAAAUGGAAUCUGAGGUC